CACAGCCUAUUCCCCAGCUGAUGAUCCCAAUCAGAUGCAUACGAUUAUCCUUCAUACAGACCAGAGGCCCUCCAGAGUCACCCUACAAGGAGAAACCAGAGUUGGGAGACAUCGUGAGGAGGAUCAGAUUAUUAUAUAGGAAGAUCUGGAUGAUCUAGAAGACUGGAGUGACAGAAAUGGGAUGAAAUUCAACCGUACAAAGUACAAGGGUCUAAUAAGAAUUUCUACUACAAGUUGGGAGCUCAUCAGUUGGAGGUGACAGAUGAGGAGUGAGACCUGGGUGUGGAGGUCCCUCACAGCACAGGAUGACUGAUCUACCAGUGUGAUGCAGCUGUGAAAAAGAUGCUGCCGUAUAACCAUAACUGGAUGGUAAUCAGCACCAUAGGACCAAUGUCACUCUUGCCAGCCAGAGGGAGGCUGCAAUUCCUCUUCUUAAAGCUGCACGUGAGAAUGGAGGUUCUUAAACCUCUUACUCAUCUGAAAGGAAGAAUUUCUGAACUAAUACUCCAGCAAGUAUCUGUCUGUGGAAGAGAGUGUCGGAGCCAUUUCUUCUGAGGAAAUUUAGGAUUCCCUGGAAAUAAGCCAGUUGUGUCAAAGUCCGAAUUUCCUGCAGUAGAACAAAGUAUUGGAGCUAACCUGGGUAGUCACCUAGGAGGAGUUGGGCUGAGUGGAAUCAGGUGGAACCGGAGCUUGUUCUGAUAGGAGAAAGAAGGAAUCAGAUGUUUUUAUAUCCUGAAAGAUUUUGUAUUAAAAUCUUGGAGACUGGUAUGAGAGGAGAAUCUUCCAUUUAAAAAGCACCAGAGCUACUUAAAGUGUGAAUUAAAUAUAAAACAAAUUCUGUCCCAAUUACACUUAGCUUGUUAGUCAGUUUUUAAUGUACUCUAGUCUACUGUACACUCUAGCAGUGCUGACCUGCAGCCCAUGUCCUUUAAUUUUCUUUGUACCAAAUAGUGCUUCCUGUAUCUCAUGGAUGUCAUCUGAUUCCUUUGUUCCAAUAACCCUUGCUAUGCCUUCCAGGCCAGCGCCUCUCCAAUGCACAGAAAUGAGUGCAUAGUCCCUUAUCUGUAGCUGUAGGGCAGUUCUGAUGUCCAGUGUGCUUGGAAGGCUGGUAACUGGUGUUUUGCCCAGUCUUAUCCCUGGCCUCGGCUGUGCCUUACCCAAUCAGAGUGUUCUGAAUGAUAAGCCCUAUCUAGGAAAGCACAUGGAUUUCCGAAAAUAUGAGAAUGUUUACGUGGAUAGAAGCAGAGACCUUCUAGCAAUAAUCUUUUUUGCCCAGCUGCCUCUGGCCUAGUUAUUCCUGUUGCUCUGACCCUUAACGCUUCUGCCCCUGUGACCAGCAAAUAGAUUCCAAGGCCAGAAGGGACCAUUGUGAUCAUCUAGUCUCAUCUCCUUGUAUAUAGCAGGCCAUAGAACUCCUCCAAAAUAAUUCCUAGAGCAAAUCUUUUAGAACAACAUCCGCUUGUGAUUUAAAAAUUGCCAGUGAUGGAGAAUCCACCAUAUCCGUUGGUAAAUUAAUCCAGUGAUAAGAUAGAAAGGGCUGGAUUUACUGUGCUGACA